ensembl:lncRNA
GUGGAAUACAAAUCGGAUCUUGAAUAAAAGCAUAUUGUAGGAUUUAUACCAAGUAUAAGAAAACAGAAAGAGAAACAAAGGGAACUCAUAAGUAUCUGAGAGUUAUAAAAUCAGAAUCUCUAGAGGGAAGAACAGAAACAUGAAUUUUCAGCACAUUUCUUGGACAAUCAUUUUGCACACUAAGGUUGAAGAACAACCUGGAACAAAGCUUCUCCUGGAUGGAUCUUACUUUUACCCUACCUCCGGUGUAGAGAGGGAGAGAGGGCAGUUACAGAACAAAUGUCUACUCCAGCAUCAUAGUUUGGUUUUGUUCACUGCAGAUUAUGUAGAGUUAGGAUCUACACUGCAGAACCAAUGAACCGUUGUAUAAUCCUGCCAUUUCCAUUUGUUUGUCUACCUAUCAUCUUACCUUUACUGGUGCUAUGUUCCAGAACAAUCUCAUGUGUUUUUGGACUAAAGAUUUUACCUUGUCAGAAUCGUGUUAACUUACCAUUAAAGCCUGUGCACAAUUUUAUGCGAAGGUGAAAUCUGCUUUGGAGUAGCUAUUGAGGCUCUAAGACAUCCUUCUGUUAGAUUCUACAUUAUAGAAAGCCCGCACAUGGAAAAGAAAUGUUGAACUUUUCUGAAGCUGGAUCCAAAUCAAUAACAAGUCUAAUGCUUAACACUGCUGAUAUGUCAGUCAUUUGCCAGAAUGGUAUGCCAUUCAUACUGUUAAAUGAACAUUUUCAUUUCCCAGAGGAGUGAUCUGCUGUCCAUCCUUAUAAUGUGGAGCAUGGUUCCCAGGCUAUUUACAUCAGCAUUGCUCCCUUACAAUGGGCCUGUUUCACUGGUUUACAUAAAUUGAAGGGCACUUUUAAAUAAACCUAAAAAGAACAAAUUG